rnacentral:rRNA from 1 species
UAACAUGGGUAGCAAUACCUGAUGACGACCGGCAAACGGGUGCGGAACACGUACGCAACCUUCCCAUAACUGGUGAAUAGCCCUCCGAAAGGAGGAUUAAUACACCGUAACAUAAUGAAGUGGCAUCACUUUAUUAUUAUAGGCUUCGGCCGGUUUUGGAUGGGCGUGCGCCUGAUUAGGUAGUUGGCGGGGUAACGGCCCACCAAGCCUGCGAUCAGUAACUGGUGUGAGAGCACGACCAGUCACACGGGCACUGAGACACGGGCCCGACUCCUACGGGAGGCAGCAGUAAGGAAUAUUGGUCAAUGGACGAAAGUCUGAACCAGCCAUGCCGCGUGAAGGAUGAAGGCCCUCUGGGUUGUAAACUUCUUUUAUCUGGGACGAAAAAAGCUCAUUCUUGAGCACUUGACGGUACCAGAGGAAUAAGCACCGGCUAACUCCGUGCCAGCAGCCGCGGUAAUACGGAGGGUGCAAGCGUUAUCCGGAUUUACUGGGUUUAAAGGGUGCGUAGGUGGGUCUGUAAGUCAGCGGUGAAAUCUCCGAGCUUAACUCGGAAACUGCCAUUGAUACUAUAGAUCUUGAAUUUUCUGGAGGUGAGCGGAAUAUGUCAUGUAGCGGUGAAAUGCUUAGAUAUGACAUAGAACACCAAUUGCGAAGGCAGCUCACUACGGGAAUAUUGACACUGAGGCACGAAAGCGUGGGGAUCAAACAGGAUUAGAUACCCUGGUAGUCCACGCCCUAAACGAUGGAUACUCGACAUCAGCGAUACACUGUUGGUGUCUGAGCGAAAGCAUUAAGUAUCCCACCUGGGAAGUACGAUCGCAAGAUUG